GGACCCAGGUCGUCGUAGUGACCCAUCGGGGAGCGGGUUCCUCUGGAGUUGGAGCGGGGUUGGAGUUGGCGGUUCUCAUGGGGGCCGUUGUUCUAUCGGUCCGGACGUCUCCGGCCGCCCCCCCGAGAGUUGAUGGAACACUCGAGUGGGGACUGGGGACAGUCCAGUGGCGGUUCAGAGGCGCUUGCGGCGCCGGGGACAUGGGUUCAAUUCUGCCUGCGGAUGAGGCGCGGUCCAGUGUGCGUGCAGCUGCCGAGAGCCUGUCCAGUCUCCGCCCCCCUGUCUCCCACUCAUAUCUUGCCCCGUCUAUCUGCCCCCUGACAAAUACAAACUUGAAAAAAUACAAAAAAUCGGACCCAAACUAUGCUCAUUGAAUCUACAGCGCUUUGUUCGAUUUUUAUUUAUAGCGUUUUACCUUUGACAUAUCCCAUGAUUCCUUGCG